rnacentral:tRNA from 1 species
GCCCGGGUGGCGCAACUGGUUGACGCAGAGGGCUUAAACCCCUCGGGCCUCUCGAGGCCAUGUGGGUUCGACUCCCACCCCGGGCACCA